GGCGCAGGCCCAGGCUCCACUCCCCAGCUGUGAAAGGAGGAGCUCUAUGGUGACUUUGAAGACUUGGAAACAGGGGACGUGCACAAGGGAAAAUCGGGCCCCGAUACUCAGAAUGAAGAUAUAGAGAAACAAGGAAGAAAUUGACCCCGACAAAGAAGAAAGUGCCAAGAAAAAGCAUUUGGAUAAGAAGAGAAAAUUGAAGGAGAUGUUUGAUGAGGAAUAUGAUGAAGGAGAAAGCACAUAUUUUGAUGAUCUUAAAGGAGAAAUGCAGAAACAAGCACAGGUGAGAAACCUCAGUUCCUCUCAGCCCCUUGUCAAGACUAUCACAUAGUGCAGGAAUCCCUGACUUUCUUUGGGUCCCUGCUUCCUAUCCUGCUUCUGUGCCUUUCAUUUGGACUCCUGGGUAGAUGCAUGUGAGUGUGUUUAUUCAUGCAGUGAGCUCA
rnacentral:lncRNA from 10 species